GGUUUAGGGGAAACGAUGAUCCCUUUGCAUCUCUGAUGACGGGCGCAAGAGCGAAGGGGGAGUGAGUAGCGCGACCGGCCCCGUAGAGC
rnacentral:ncRNA from 2 species